AGCGACUUGGGUUGCAAAUCUCAUCGUAGAGAACUGAUCCAGUCUCCUGCUACGACAACUUCCUUUGGAACAAUGAAGUCUUGCGCUCUUCUUGUGCUCUUGGUGCUCUUUGUUGCUGUUGUCAUAGAAGACACAGCCGGACAAGGUAUAGCGCGUGCUACAUGCACCUGCUGUGGUCAUAUUUGUCAUACCGACAGUGGAAUUUGCAGGUGCGGCGGAGUUGCACCCAACUGCUACUGUAUUGCAAUUGAUCAUACAACAAGAAGACCCCCUCCUCGAGGGUAAACAUGACCAGUUGAAUAUAAAGAAGAAAACAGGAAACUAAUCAUUCAGCUAAAUGUAAAGCUGCUGUAUUUGGACAUUUUUUUGUGAAUUUUGAGUUGAACAAUAAGUGGUCAUAAUAAAGAUUGUAGUAAAUAUGCUGUA